AUUAGUUUAAGCGAACUAGGAAUAUGGAUUUAUUUCUAGACUUAAACUUAGAAUACUAAGCAAUGAUUGUGAGGAGUGUGUCUUAGGUAAUACACCUAAAUAGACACAAGCACUAGCUUAUUUACGGAAAACGCCUAACAUGCUUUUAUGUGCUAAAUGAUUUAUGAUGCUAAAUGUAUGAUCGGAUCUAUGGUCUGUUGCCGACCGGAUCUGGAAAUUUUAUGUGUCCAGAUUUCUAAACGUUUAAUUAUGUUAUUAGAACUGGCAUGUAACUUUUCGGCGUAAUAAGAAGACUUACCUGUCAAUCGUAAAUAAAAUCUUUCCUAUCUUAAUUCUCGUCAUUUCGCACCGAACAUCUGAUCUGGUGUAUAGAUCAAAAUGGCUAGAACCCGAAGAGGAGUCGGGAACGUGAAUGGAGAUAGGAAUCAAUAGCCCCUAGUGGCUGAACAAAUACGUGUUGUAGUAACCGCACCUGAGCCAAUAACGAUGGUCGGGGUACAAGCGAUGAUCCAAAUGAUGUUGGAUCGUCAAAUGGAGGAAACAAGGUGUUUACUUCAACAGAACCAAGAAGAACUUACGGUACCAAUUGAACAGCCCGAGCUGAAUGAUGGGCAGUCAGAAGGAGAAAACUACAGUGGAACUGUUGGUCAAGCCAACCCACCGAUAGUUAGGCGAAACUACUAGGAUGGAGGAAACGACGGACGUGGAUGCAAAUACAAGGAUUUCAUGGCAUCCAAACCAACGAGUCUAUCCGGAAGCCCGACGCCGGUGGAAGUUAUGAACUGGAUCUCCGAAAUGGAGACAAUGUUUGAGAGUUGCGAGUCUAGCAACAGACAGAAAAUCGCUCUUGAAAUCUGGAGUACUGAGCUGGGGGAAGCUACUAGCUGAUUCUAUGCCUAAGGGAGAAGCUAGUAAGGAGUCUUUGGAGGAUUUUCUGGUGCAACUGGAGAUGCAAUACUGCUCUGAGCAGGAUCUUGUGGAGAUCAACAAUGGGUUCCAAAAUUUGAAGAAAGGAAGAAUGAGCGUUAUAGAAUACGCUGCAAGCUUUACGGAAAAAAUGAAGCCGGUUCCUUACCUAGUCCCAACCGAACUCUCCAAGGUUAACAAGUUUGCCCAUGGAUUACGAGCAGACUUUUGUCGAAUGGUCAAGCAAGAAACCACUUUGAAAGCCGCCAUCUGGGCAGCCAGGAAUGUUGAGACCCAGAUUAAGGAAACGGGUCUGGAGAGAGCUGAAUUUGGCGAGAAAAGGAAGCAUGAAGGAUCUUCAAAAUCCAACAAAGAAAGGAAAUUCUCAAAGACUGAUGAAGGAGGAGGAGGUGAAGCCAAGUGGUGUGAGAAGUGUAAAAAGAAGCACUUCAGGAAAUAUAGCGUGGAGUUGACUUGGUACAAAUGUGGAAAUACAGGGCAUUACACUGAGAGAUUAAGGAGAUGGAAAUCACUAGUAAUAAUGAAUGUAAGUUCUGUUUAUGCUUAUGUUUCUGUAUUGACGAUGACAUCCCAAAUGUUUUAAAAUGAAUAAAAAUACUUUUGUUUGGAAAUUCUUUGAUAAUGAAAUUAUCAUAUUUUUCUGGGAACAAAUUCCGCAACGUUUUUAUUAAAAGAGAUACUCUGAUUUUUAUAAAGCAUAAACAAAAUCGGUCUUUUUUGGCUGUGAAAUUGGGAUGUCACAGUUGGUACUAGAGCAUUAAUUUAAGUGAACUAGGAAUAUGGAUUUAUUUCUAGACUUAAACUUAGAAUGCUAAGCAAUGAUUGUGAGGAGUGUGUCUUAGGUAAUACACCUAAAUAGACACAAUCACUAGCUUAUUUAGGGAAAACGCCUAACAUGCUUUUAUGUGCUAAAUGAUUUAUGAUGCUAAAUGUAUGAUCGGAUCUAUGGUCUGUUGCCGACCAGAUCUUGAAAUUUUACGUGUACAGAUUUCUAAACGUUUAAUUAUGUUAUUAGAACUGGCAUGUAACUUUUCGGCGUAAUAAGAAGAUUUACCCGUCAAUCGUAAAUAAAAUCUUUCCUAUCUUAGUUCUCGUAAUUUCGCACCGAACAUCUGAUCUGGUGUAUAGAUCAAAAUGGCUAGAACCGGAAGUGGAGUCGGG
rnacentral:lncRNA from 1 species